rnacentral:rRNA from 1 species
CUAGUCGUGCGCCUCCAAGCCAUGGUGGAGGCGCGGCGCACAGCUCAGUAACACGUGGUUAACCUGCCCUUGGGACGGAAACACCCCCGGGAAACUGGGGCUAAUUUCCGAUAGGUGAAGACUCCUGGAAUGGAUCUUCGCCUAAAGGGCGCUUAGGCCAUGCUUCUAGGCGCUGCCCAAGGAUGGGGCCGCGGCCGAUCAGGUUGUUGGUGAGGUAAUGGCUCACCAAGCCUUUAACCGGUUCGGGCCGUGGGAGCGGGAGCCCGGAGAUGGGCACUGAGACAAGGGCCCAGGCCCUACGGGGCGCAGCAGUCGCGAAAACUCCGCAAUACGCGAAGGCGUGACGGGGCUAUCCCGAGUGCCGUCCGCUGAGGAUGGCUUUUCCCCAGUGUAGAUAGCUGGGGGAAUAAGGAGAGGGCAAGUCUGGUGUCAGCCGCCGCGGUAAUACCAGCUCUCCGAGUGGUGGGGACGUUUAUUGGGCCUGAAGCAUCCGUAGCCAGCUGAGCAAGUCCCCAGUUAAAUCCAGCGAUUUAAUCGUUGGACUGCUGGGGAUACUGUCCGGCUAGGGGGUGGGAGAGGCCGACGGUAUUCCCGGGGUAGGGGUGAAAUCCUAUAAUCCCGGGAGGACCACCAGUGGCGAAGGCUGUUGGCUAGAACAUGCCCGACGGUGAGGGAUGAAAGCUGGGGGAGCGAACCGGAUUAGAUACCCGGGUAGUCCCAGCUGUAAACGAUGCAGGCUAGGUGUUAGGGCGGCCACGUGCCGCUCUAGUGCCGCAGGGAAGCUGUUAAGCCUGCCGCCUGGGGAGUACGGCCGCAAGGCUGAAACUUAAAGGAAUUGGCGGGGGAGCACCACAAGGGGUGAAGCUUGCGGUUUAAUUG